UACAUCAUAGUAAAACCUAAAAGGGCAUAUUAAUAUAAGAAAUAACACAAUAUUUCAAUACAAAAAUAUAUCAAAGUGUACUAUAGUUUUACAAACUAAAUUGAAAUGUCAUUCACUUCAACCAUUACGAUUACAAGAAACUUCAAAUCUUGCUUGAACUUCAAAUCACUACAAAAACUUGCUUAAACUUCAAAUCACUAGCAUCCAAACUCAAGAUAGGAUCUGCAACAGUUCAUGAAACUCAGCGGAUUUCACUACGAUAUCACCUGGCUGCAAAGAGAAAUACACAAUAAGCGACUUCAUCCAAACUCAAAACAUGGAUGAAUAUAGCAUACUUGAUGAAUUUAGUACUACCAGCCAGUUAAGUUAUAUGGUGGAAUAAGACAUGUUAGUUGACAAGAAUAUAUUACAACAAUAACAACAUAAUACACAGUGAAAUUUCACAAGCGGGUUUGGGAAAGGUAGAAUAUACGCACAAGUAAUGACUUAUCCCCAGUUACGCUUGUCAGGGAGCAAAAGGAAAACAAUUACUAUUGUUUAUGUCCAGCCAAAUAAUACAACUUACAGAGUUAAGAGCCUGCUCAAGAAAUACAUCAGUAGCUACCUUUUUGUGUAACUCAAACCAAUUGGGUCUGCGAUGGCCACAAGCCACUACUCCCCUGUACUAAUUUUACUUUUUAAUGAAAUGCUUCAUAUUUCCUUACCAAAAAAAAAGUAACAACAAAUGGGUCCUAGUUAGAUAAAGUCUAAAGAUUAAUUCAUUGGGAAAAGAAAUUAAUUAGUAAUAUCUAUAUGGCUAGAUCUCACAUUAGUUGUACACUGAAAUGUACCUCUAAUCCUUAAUUCUUUGAAGUAUCAAAGUUCCAGAGAAAAAGAUUUUACUUACCAAUGCCAACCACCUUGCUAUGCCUAUAUAACAUAAUUAUAGGUGCAGUAAGUUCUCAAGACAAUGUAAAAUAUUCAUUAAACAACACCAACAACUAUAUAAAAGCUAUAACUUGAAAUGUAAAAGUCCAACUAGUGAAUUAGAAAAUACCAGUUACUAUUCAGAUGAUCAAUUAUAAUUUUUUGAAAAGGCACAAUUACUAAAAAUAAUGUGACCUCUCAAAACUGAACAUGAGUCUAAUGAUGCUUAGGAUUGGGUCUGUUGGGAGAAAUUGAAUUUUGCUUGCAAAAAGAGUCCACUGGCCAUCCAAGAUGUAAUCUUGGCAAUAAUCUUGUCCACUAAGGGUUUAAUUGGACUAUUGUAAGCCUUUUAGGUGUCGUUUAAUACAAAGAUUAAUAAUGUAGGGAUUAGUAAUGCAAGGUUCCUUAGUAAAAUUGUUUGGCACACCUAGAUAUUUGAAACAGAGUUCUCCAACCUCAUAUCCAAGCAUAGUCAAGAUGGUUUCCUUAGUAAAUUUGUUAAUACCUUCAAAACAUACCUGACUUUUCAAAAUGAUGGUCUUCAAAUCAGAAGCAUCAGAAAACAUAUUGAAUUUACCCCUCGAUAGUUGUAGUUGUAUAGAUCUGACAUCUCAUCUAGUAAAUAUAGUAAGUCAACAGCAACAAAGUACUGAUUCAAAACUGAUGUCAACAUCUAGAUGGAAAAAAAUGUUUCAUCAAACUUUCUUAGUUGUAAAUCAGCACAACUACAAAGAAAAAAGACAUUCUUGCAACUCUUCCAAAUCUGUUUGGGUUAAAGGAAUUUUGCAUUUAACUAUCAUUCCAUCUUCACUAACUAUCUAAAGGACAAAAUCAAAUAAAAAAAUACAAUAAACUCACAAGAUUUGUAGAGCGUCGCAGAACUUGAGCGAGUUGUGCAUGACUGCUUAUAAGAGCUUUUAUCUUCUUCAACAAUGCAGCCACAAAUAUUGACACUAUAGCACGAAAAAAUAGUGCAAACUGUCUUAAAGAAAGAUCUCAUCAGAAAAAUGAGAACCAAAUUUAAAAAGAAUAGCUGAAAAGUAGAUGAAACUUACGGAAAUAGCUGGGAAUAUAGACGAAAUCAGGUUCAGUAAUGUGGGAGGAGAUAGUGGUGGGAGUGACGUCUUUGGGAUCGGUGGCAAAAGGGAUGGUUGGGUUUGGGGACAAUUCCAGUUGUUGGGGAUGAUCGUAACAUGUAUACUCAAUAUACUCGAUAUGGUUAGUCAAUCGAUAAAGUGAAACAACCUUAUGGUGCUACUUCUAAUCCUACACAGGCUGAUGACGCGACAAGAAAGAACAGUUCAUCAUCAAACAAGUUGAAAACACCACAUUUCUCCAAUAUCACCACCUUAUAACAUAGAAACAAAUAUCAUAUCUCUCAAAUUUACCAGAUUCACUUACAACUAACAAAAAUCAAUUAAGAAGUUAAUCUAUCCAACCAAAAAAUCAAUUACUAGCAAGUUAUUCUCUAUGUAAACCUUAUUUAAUUAGAUUAUCCAUAUUGAAACCCUAAAGAAUCGAAGUUUAGGGGAAAUCCAAAAAGUACAAUAGUUAUAAACCUUAGAAAGAGCUGAAGCUUCUCCAUGGUGCAGGACGUAGGGCAACGAGCCUAUUGGAGCAUUCUUUUACUCCAAAAUCGGCGAAGAUAUUGCAGAUUUUCUGAAACUAAAAUAGAUUCAAAAUACAAAUCUCAAAACUUUUUACAAACAAUUUGAAGUUGAGAAAAAAAAAAUCAGUUGAUUUAUAGAUUGAAAAUGCAUGAAAAUGAGGAAAAGAGAACUCAUUUUUGAAGCUUUCGAUGUCUAAAUUAAGGAGCAAUUGUUAAAUAGAGAGAAAUUGGGAAGUAAGAGAGGAGAAGAGAAGUAUGAACCAACGAUACCGCCAAUCGCCACCGCCGCCUCCAUCUUUUCCUACUCCGACCACUGUUAUUGUGGAUGAAGACAGUGAUAGCUCCGCCACCAUGGAUUCGCCACCGUGCCGCCUCCAUCACUUCCUACUCCAACCCUAAUUAUCAUAUGAAAAUUGAUCAGUUCGGGAUCGCAGAAAAUAGAAUGAAACUUUUUUUUAUUUGGGGAUUAAAUGAGCAACGAUAUAAAAUUUUAUUUUUUAGGAUAGCGGCGGGUAAUAACCCCACAAAUUCUACUAAAAUUAUAGGGGUUAAUCAAACCUCCGUAAUUUGAUGUAAUUUGUGGGGGUUGAGUUAACCUCCAUUAUAAAACCUCUAGGAUUUAAGUGUUUUUUUGUAGUGGAU
rnacentral:lncRNA from 1 species